CUGCUGCAAAUGAUGUAUAGGAGGAUGAGGAGGAUCUUCGUUGAUUUAUUUUAGUUUUGAUGUAAUAUAUUUAAUUUUGAUAUUUGAACAAUAUUAUCUUAUAUAAUUGGAUAAUUUAUAUUUUUAUAUAAUAUUAGUUUUUUAUUUAUGAUGGUGAUAGUUAAUUGUUAGUUGUUAUAGUGUUUAUAAAUAUAUGUUGGUUAUUAAUUUAAUUAUAGUAGAUUUUAAUAAAAAUAUUUUUAUAAUUUUUUAAAAAAUCUAUUAUUAGCGAUGGCUAAAUUCAUCGCUAAUACCGUCACUAAAUAUUAGCGAUGGCUGC
rnacentral:lncRNA from 1 species